rnacentral:rRNA from 1 species
UACGUAGGGUGCGAGCGUUGUCCGGAAUUAUUGGGCGUAAAGAGCUCGUAGGCGGUCUGUCGCGUCGGUCGUGAAAACUUGGGGCUUAACCCUGAGCUUGCGGUCGAUACGGGCAUGACUGGAGUUCGGCAGGGGAGACUGGAAUUCCUGGUGUAGCGGUGAAAUGCGUAGAUAUCAAGAGGAACACCUGCGGCGAAGGCGGGUUGCUGGGCCGACACUGACGCUGAGGCGCGAAAGCUAGGGGAGCGAACGGG